GACGAACGCUGGCGGCGUGGAUUAGGCAUGCAAGUCGAACGGUAUCGUCCUUUCGGGGGUGAGAGAGUGGCGAACUGGUGAGUAACACGUAGGUUAUCUACCCUCAAGACGGGGACAACCCAGGGAAACUUGGGCUAAUACCGGAUGUGAGCAACUUUUAGUUGUUUGAAAGGUGGCGUAAGCUGUCGCUUGGGGAUGAGCCUGCGUCCUAUUAGUUAGUUGGUGAGGUAACGGCUCACCUAGGCAAUGAUAGGUAGGCGGCCUUAACGGGUGGUCGCCCACACUGGGAUUGAGAUACGGCCCAGACUCCUACGGGAGGCAGCAGUCGAGAAUAGUCUACAAUGGUCGGAAGACUGAUAGUGCGACGCCGCGUGAACGAUGAAUCCCUUCGGGGUGUAAAGUUCUUUUAUACGUGAGCAGUGUCCUUUAUAUUAAUAGUAUAAGGGGAGAGAUAUUAGCGUAUGAAUAAGCAACGGCUAACUCCGUG
rnacentral:rRNA from 1 species